CCCUUAGAUGUCCUGGGCCGCACGCGCGCUACACUGACAUGUUCAACAAGUUUCUCCUAGUUCGACAGGACUGGGAAAUCUUUGAACGCAUGUCGUGAUAGGGAUAGAUCAUUGCAAUUAUUGAUCUUGAACGAGGAAUUCCUAGUAAACGCGAGUCAUCAGCUCGCAUUGAUUACGUCCCUGCCCUUUGUACACACCGCCCGUCGCACCUACCGAUUGAGUGAUCCGGUGAAUAAUUCGGACUGCAGCACUGCUUGGUCUCCAGGCUUUGCAGCGGAAAGUUUAGUGAACCUUAUCACUUAGAGGAAGGAGAAGUCGUAACA
rnacentral:rRNA from 1 species